ensembl:lncRNA
CUGCCUCCUGCCCCGCCGCUUUGCGACUGCUUCACAGAGCAGCUGAGCUCCUUCCGACCCUCCUGGUUUGCACCGAAAGUCCCUCGCUGGGCUGCGGGUCAUCCCCGCUUUUCAAGUGUAAUAAUCGGCUCUGGGUUUCCUUUCUGUCACCUUCAGAAAUGUGCGCUAAUUACCUGUAACUCCGAGUGCCACUAAAGAGAUUGCAUUGCACAGUAGCGUGGAGGAGCCUGCCCAAGUGUCUGCCCUGGAGAAUCUGUGAUCACGGGGAAAAUCUUCAGCUUCAGCACACGUGACCCAUUUUCUCCACAUGGAGGUCAUUCUUCUGAUUUCAUCAUCCCUUUUGGAUGGCUGAAGAGAGAAAGGAAGGCGCUAGAUAUAUGUAUUCUGGUUUCUCACUUAGCACUGUGGUGGUUUGAACAUCAUUUUUGUGAUGUGGAGCCUUCUUGCUGCACUGACGCACACAGCCUCCUGCUUCCUUUGGAGCAGCGCCGGCUCACGGCACCAAAGCUGAUGCCAUUGCUGCUCCAGCUGGGCAUAAAACAGAGGGAAUAAAAAGGAAAAACAAGAGCAUCUCUCCAGCACGGACAGACACGGGCAAAACGUCACAGCCCUGAGGAGGUACCUCAGCAUCAUGGGGUAGGGGACUUGGGCAGCAUAACCCCCUUCUCUCUUGGUCCCACCUGCUGGAGCCCAGCACUGCGACUGUUGCUUUCACUGAAAGGAUGAGAUGGAACUAAAUGCAGCUGCAGUGACAUUCGUGGUCAUCCCUUACCUCCGAGGCAGGGCCGGGCUGGGAGCUGGGCUCUUGCUCACCCUGCCCUGUGCCGUGGCUCAGCCCCACCUCCUGCCGUGCACAAAACUUUGUGUGUGCAGCUCCG